GCAUAUGGAGCUGACAUGCGUGUCCUACAACCCUGCAUUUGUUGGGGCAGGCUACAAGAAAGGCCGCUUUUCGUCUUGUUUUCGAGUGAUUGUCGCCUGAUUUCGACUUGAAAGUCCCAGUUUUCUUUCUACAUUGAUUUGUGGUAUUCGGCGCUUCUCAUUGAUGCUCUCUCUGACCCUUUCCGAUGAAAUAUUCAGUCUAAUGCUCUGGAACAUGACUCUUUCACACUCAGUACUACUUUAGAGAAGCCCUUUCUGACUUCAAAAGUGGUUAAGUGUCGGAAUGGCGUGAAAGAAACAGAAAAGAAAAAAAGAAUGGAAGCCGCCACAUUACUCAGGAAUGCGUACCCGCCACAGAGCAAUCAACAUCAUCGAUAAAUAUCAUGGGUAGAUAUUGUUAGAUAUUCAUACCAUUAGAUAUCAUCACUAGAUAUCACUACAUCUUGACAUUGUUUAUAGACAGGCAGGC
rnacentral:sRNA from 2 species